rnacentral:rRNA from 1 species
GACGAACGCUGGCGGCGUGCUUAACACAUGCAAGUCGAACGGACCUUCGGGUUAGUGGCGAACGGGUGAGUAACACGUGGGUGAUCUGCCCUGCACUUUGGGAUAGGCCUGGGAAACUGGGUCUAAUACCGAAUAGGACCACGCGCUUCAUGGUGUGAGGUGGAAAGCUUUUGCGGUGUGGGAUGGGCCCGCGGCCUAUCAGCUUGUUGGUGGGGUAAUGGCCUACCAAGGCGACGACGGGUAGCCGGCCUGAGAGGGUGACCGGCCACACUGGGACUGAGAUACGGCCCAGACUCCUACGGGAGGCAGCAGUGGGGAAUAUUGCACAAUGGGCGCAAGCCUGAUGCAGCGACGCCGCGUGAGGGAUGACGGCCUUCGGGUUGUAAACCUCUUUCGCCAGGGACGAAGCGCAAGUGACGGUACCUGGAGAAGAAGGACCGGCCAACUACGUGCCAGCAGCCGCCGUAAAAC